rnacentral:rRNA from 1 species
UACGUAGGGUGCAAGCGUUGUCCGGAAUUAUUUGGGCGUAAAGAGCUCGUAGGCGGUUUGUUGCGUCGGCUGUGAAAUCCCCAGCUUAACCUGGGAACUGCAUCCGAUACUGGAUGGCUUGAAUCCGGGAGAGGGAUGCAGAAUUCCAGGUGUAGCGGUGAAAUGCGUAGAUAUCAGGAAGAACACCCGUGGCUAAGGCGGUUCUCUAGUACGGUACUGACGCUGAGACGCGAAAGCGUGGGGAGCGAACAGG